GUCUUAAUUGAUUCAUUCUUUGAUAGGGACUGGCAAGUGAGAAGUGCUGCAAGUGAAAAUUAUUUCAUAAAUAUCUGUGGUCGAGCACAAAACUGUGGCAAAGAUACUUCAGUUUGCAAGAAAGGUGAUAAAACUGGUUCUACGGCUAAAAACUAUGGUGCAAGUGUUACCGGGAAACUACCGACGUUGCCGCAUGGCAAAGGUUUUUCUAUUACAUUUAAUGGUAAUGAAAAUUCCAAGCCUGAAUGCGAGAAUAAGAAGAUUCAAACCACAAUUCUUUUUCAUUGUGAUAAAAUAUUGGUAUGUUGAUUUUGAUAAAACUUUUAGGG